AAGUCGUAACAAGGUCUCCGUUGGUGAACCAGCGGAGGGAUCAUUACCGAGUUCUUACAGAACCCUACCCUUGUGUGCUAAGCUAUCACCCAGCUUUUACACAAAGAGUCCCGGCCUAACCGCCGGGCUAUCAGUGUAAAAAACAAAACCUCUGUAUUAUUAUUACAAACUUCUGAAGACUUUUUAUAAAAGUUAAAACUUUCAACAACGGAUCUCUUGGUUCUG
rnacentral:misc_RNA from 1 species